rnacentral:rRNA from 1 species
UACGGAGGGUGCAAGCGUUAUCCGGAUUCACUGGGUUUAAAGGGUGCGUAGGCGGGUUGGUAAGUCAGUGGUGAAACCUUCAAGCUUAACUUGGAAACUGCCGUUGAUACUAUCAAUCUUGAAUAUUGUGGAGGUAAGCGGAAUAUGUCAUGUAGCGGUGAAAUGCUUAGAUAUGACAUAGAACACCGAUAGCGAAGGCAGCUUGCUACACAGUAAUUGACGCUGAGGCACGAAAGCGUGGGGAUCAAACAGG